UUUCACUUGCUAUUUGCCAAGAAAGGUUAAGUCACUCCCCUGAAGACUCACUGGACUUCAGGACCAGCCUGAGAGUUGUUCUCAUUCCUUAAAGAGCUUUGAGUGCACAUGACCUCAUGCCAUCCUUGCCUAGGGAAAAAAUUAAAAAAAGAUUGCUUGAUUCUUGAACCUGCUGUGGAGAGUUUUUAUAUGUUAUAUAUUAGUGUCAGGUUAGACCCUCAGAUGUUUUUAUUCAUGCUUCAGGCACUAUAUGCCACUUUAAAGCAUCUGAAUGGAACCAGAGAAAACUAUGAUAGCAGGGGCAGAGGGUAAGAAGUGUGAUGAGGAAGGUGGUGGAGGAACAGGCAGCUGUUUAUGGCUGCCUUGCAAAGAGCCUGGAGUCCCAGUCCACAGAUGCAUUUCACCAGCCUGCCCUUUCCAUGUGCCUGGAUAACCCUAGCUGACAUGUUUCUCCAUAAACUUGCAGCUGGACAGAACUUCCCUGCAAGUCUCCCUUGGACAUAAUGUUUUAAAACAAACGAUUCCUACUAAGAUACCAUGAGCACUUGAACUCCUCAAGGUGGUAUUUAAAACUUGUCUUUUUUUUUUUUUCCAAAGAAAAACAACUAUGAAUACAGGUAGGGUUGGGUAUUUAUUCUUAGGGUCUAACUGCCACUUGAAACACAAGCUUUCCUAAUACUUUUUCCUGGGGACAGCAUCUUUCCACUGAAUGCCAGUCACAGUGUUCAUAAUAAUAGCUUGAAAGAGUUGAAAGUGACCCACAAAUUCAGCUUGUCCCAACUCCUCACAUUACAGAGGAAUAGAUGAAAACCAGAACUACAAAGAGUUGUGAAGGCAGGGAAAAACCUUAGUCACCCUCUCCUUUUGCUCAGGGGUCUCUGUCUUGACAGCUCUCCACCCCAGGGCCUUCAGCAACUCGUGACAGAACAAGAGCUAGAAUUUAGUCUCCUGAUUCAAGUUCAGUACUUUAUUUCUGUCCCUCCCCACGAGGAAUUCCAUGCUUUUUCUGCAGCCUGUAGGCCAGGCCACAACUUAGUGACGAGCAGAAUGAAAUAAGUGUAAUGAUUUUAAAAAGGGCAGGAUGACUUUCCACAAAUCCUGUUCUCACCAGUCUGUCACUGCUGCUUGACCUUCCACCAUUAGAGAUUCAUUCUUUUGUAACUUGGAGGUGACAUAGACUUCCAGAUUCUCCUUUUGCAAUGUAAAUACCUCUGGGAAGGCACCAACAGCUGAUAGCUAAUAAACUUCAAGGGCUGUUUCCCCAAGAGCGUUAAUUACCAACAGUGUGGUAAUAUGAUGGAGGGGAAGCCGACACAGAGAAAUUAUGGAAUUCAUUGAAAUUGGAGGACAAAGUUGGGGCUGAUGUGAUAAUGGGUCCCCCCUAUUGUAGACAUUCCAUAAAUGCUACUAUCUACCCAUCCAACUAAAUAUAGAAGAACAUGGCCCGGACACACCGGUGAGAAAUUUCCUUGACAAAGCAUGAACAAAUAAGACAGUGCUGCCCACACCCAUCUCCAAUAAGAAGAUGCUCAGCCUAGUGCUUUCCGUGUAAUGGGCAUCCCGGCUUGGUUGGAGCCAGGUCCCUGGCCCUCCCCCAAGGCUUCAUUUGCAGGAGUUGACUGACCAUCGUGGGCACUUCUGUUUAUGGCUGAAGAAUGGAGGAGUUUGUACUACUAUUUUGUGUGUGGAAGACAGAAGAGGAAGAAACUGAGCAACAGAAGGGAUGGUGUGUCAUUGGCAUUCGCCCCUGACACUGGGCUUUGUGCCCUUGCAGAACAAUGGAAGAGUUUGGACCAGAAGCAGAAGGGGCUGCUUCUCUAAGAGGCUUGAAGAGACUUGGAGUGCAAGGAGUGGGCUUUGGGGCUCGCUGAGUCAGCUCCUGCUUCUGAUGACAUCUGGAAGUUGCUGGAAGUGCUGGAAGACUAGCCUUGGUACAGCUAUCAGCAUCCUCAUGAGGGAUGUUGUCAACUUGGGCAAUGGCAAGGUUCCUAAAAGCAACCUCAAAGUCAUUGGACAUUGACUAAGGGAAGCCAGAGAUGAAAAAGGAAGAGGAAGAGGAGGAGCAGGAAGAGGAGGAAGAGACUCAAUAUGGGAAAUUUACGGCUGGAUUGAAAACCAGGUAUGUGAGACUCUGAGGUCUGUGCUUCUUCCACUGGUGGAGUCAGAAAGACAUGGGCUCUGAGGAUUCAAUCCCUUACUAGAUGAAGGAGCCACAGAGUGGAUUGUUUCUGGCAGAAAGGACGACUGUGGCUGGCUUCUCCAGCAACAUACCUGGCUGCUUUCUGGACCAUCAUCUGUGACCAUUAUUGUGUACUGUGGGACAGCACAUUAAUUUGAAUAUGCUUUGAAACCAAGAAUCAUGAGACCGGUAGAAAUUCUAUUUGAGUGUAUCUGGAUAUUUAAAAUGAGUCAAAGAAAAGCAAUUUUUGGAUAAUCUGCCAAUUUGCAUUAUUUGGGCAUCGAUACAGGUCAUUGAGACUUGAUGAGGUUAUGCUGACUACACCCAGGUAGUUUGCGUUGUCAAGAAAUUCAUUGGUUUACACGCUGAACUCUGUCCUUUGACAAGUGCUGGAGAUAUGACGUGAUGACCAUUAUAGUGACUGGUUGUGGUCUUCGAGGCUGCUAGAAUCAAGCAGUACUGUUAAAAAAAAAAAAAAAAAAAGAACUCCUUUUGACCUCUGGUAAUCUCUAAUCACGGCCCAGCACUGGAGUGAACAUUGUAAUGAGUGUUACCUACAAGUAUCAUUUGUAAGUUCUUGGAAUGAGCAGAAAUGUAACUUUUUACUCAAGCUCUCUUACAAGUGGGAAGGAGACAUUGUUUUACUCUUCAGUCUUUGUUUUGGCCAUUAGAGUUGCAUUUUGGUUUGA